ACCAAAAUUAAAACGUUUAUCCUCUGCAUCGUUACAAUUUGUCGUCAAUUCGAUGUAGGGAUCUAUUCCUUGGUUAGCAAUUCGAUCAUCAUUACGAGGGACUGCACACCGCGUCCCUUUAUUAGGUACUUCAUAUACAGAUAAACCUCCCCAAGAGGUUUGGGUUAUAGCAUGGUCUCCAUCACGACAAUUAGCUGAAGGAUUUGUAGCAACGAGCAUAUACAACAUAGGAAGAUCAUAACCACCGGUACCACUCCUAGCUGUUCCCUCGAAACAACUCUUUCUUUCCAAAUUGAACAUGGCACUAUUAUCAAGAAACCGAGACUGAGCAGCUGGAUCCAGACAGUUGUUGGAGAGUUCCACAUAAGUUAAGGUUCCCCAAUCCUCGUCCGUCUGUUUUAUUCUUGUGACAUGAAUACACAUCCCUGUCUGCACAUGUUUCACAAAGAAACAAGCAGCACCUGGAGAAAAUAGGAAAAAUAACUUAAAAGUAAAUACAUUUUCUCCAAGUGGGAUGGAUGUAAUGUGUGGAAAAUUUAGGAAACAAUAUUAGAAUUCUUAUACAUGUCGUCCUUUACGUUGCGGGAAAAGAUUUAUUACAAUACAUGUAAUGUUAUUUUUGUAGGAAUAAUACUG
rnacentral:lncRNA from 1 species